rnacentral:rRNA from 1 species
UUCAGAGGUCUCGAGCGUUGUUCGGAUUUACUGGGCGUAAAGGGAGCGUAGGCGGCCGGGUGUGUCGAAUGUGAAAGCCCACAACUCAACUGUGGAAUGGCAUUCGAAACUAACCAGGCUAGAGUACUGGAGAGGAGAGCGGAAUUCUUGGUGUAGCGGUGAAAUGCGUAGAUAUCAAGAGGAACACCGGUGGCGAAGGCGGCUCUCUGGACAGAUACUGACGCUGAGGCUCUAAAGUUAGGGGAGGCAAACAGGAUUAGAUA